rnacentral:rRNA from 1 species
AGAGUUUGAUCCUGGCUCAGGAUGAACGCUGGCGGCGUGCUUAACACAUGCAAGUCGAACGGACCAUAUUCGUAUGGUUAGUGGCAGACGGGUGCGUAACACGUAGGUGACCUGCCUCGGAGUGGGGAAUAAUUCCGCUAACGCGGGACUAAUACCGCAUAGGCUUCGUAGCGUGAGGCUACGGAGUAAAGCUGCGAAGCGCUUCAGGAUGGGCCUGCGGCGGAUUAGCUAGUUGGUGGGGUAACGGCCUACCAAGGCGAUGAUCCGUAGGGGGCGUGAGAGCGUGGCCCCCCACACUGGCACUGAGAUACGGGCCAGACUCCUACGGGAGGCAGCAGUGAGGAAUAUUGCACAAUGGGCGCAAGCCUGAUGCAGCAACGCCGCGUGCGGGACGACGGCCUUCGGGUUGUAAACCGCUUUUCUGAGGGACGAGCGAGGACGGUACCUUAGGAAUAAGUCUCGGCUAAAUACGUGCCAGCAGCCGCGGUAAUACGUAUGUCGCAAGCGUUAUCCGGAUUUAUUGGGCGUAAAGCGCGUCUAGGCGGAAAAAUAAGUCUGAUGUUAAAAUGCGGGGCUCAACUCCGUAUUGCGUUGGAAACUGUUUUUCUAGAGUACUGGAGAGGUGGGCGGAACUACAAGUGUAGAGGUGAAAUUCGUAGAUAUUUGUAGGAAUGCCGAUGGAGAAGUCAGCUCACUGGACAGAUACUGACGCUAAAGCGCGAAAGCGUGGGGAGCAAACAGGAUUAGAUACCCUGGUAGUCCACGCCGUAAACGAUGAUCACUAGGUGUUGGGGGUCGAACCUCAGCGCCCAAGCUAACGCGAUAAGUGAUCCGCCUGGGGAGUACGCACGCAAGUGUGAAACUCAAAGGAAUUGACGG